AUGUCAGAAGGACAUCUUUUGAUCAGUUGCUUGUAUCUUUCCCAAACUUCACAAAGGGAUUCACCAUUUUUUUGUCUGAAGGUUUGAACUUCCAUCCUGAGCUU